GAGAGAGGAAGGGCGGCUCCCGGCGGCAAUAUUGCUGCUGAGGAAAGUCCCCCCACUUACUGGACCGCGGACACCUGCAAAGGUGUAGGGUGAGAACCCUGGCUCUGGAACAGAAACGAUACCGCAGUGCACAAAUGCGAUGAGCUCGAAAGAGUGAGGUCGUGCAUAUGCGGAUGGAACGGCGAAUCCACGCGGGUGCAAGCCGAAAUAGGACAAUAUGGGCAGUCCAGUCCCGUCCGAGUACGGCGCAUAGCCGAAUGCCGCAUAAGCGCAACAGGGGCAUUGCUCCUGCGCUAAACAUAAGGGGGCUUACUCCCCUCACUC
rnacentral:RNase_P_RNA from 2 species